AACGUAGGAGACAAACGUUAUCCGGAGUUACUGGGCGUAAAGGGCGUGUAGGUGGUUUCGUAAGUCUGGCGUGAAAUUUUUCGGCUUAACCGGGAAAGGUCGUCGGAUACUGCGGAACUAGAGGACGGUAGAGGCGUGUGGAAUUCCGGGUGUAGUGGUGAAAUGCGUAGAGAUCCGGAGGAACACCAGUGGCGAAGGCGACACGCUGGGCCGUACCUGACACUGAUGCGCGACAGCAGUGGGGAGCAAACGAG
rnacentral:rRNA from 1 species